rnacentral:sRNA from 1 species
UGACCACUUCUUUAGUGAGGUGAAGGCCAUACGGACAGCCGGGUCAAAUGCCGA